UACGUAGGGGGCUAGCGUUGUCCGGAAUCAUUGGGCGUAAAGCGCGUGUAGGCGGUCCGGUAAGUCCGCUGUGAAAGUCGGGGGCUCAACCCUCGGAUGCCGGUGGAUACUGUCGGGCUUGAGUACGGAAGAGGCGAGUGGAAUUCCUGGUGUAGCGGUGAAAUGCGCAGAUAUCAGGAGGAACACCAAUUGCGAAGGCAGCUCGCUGGGACGUUUACUGACACUGAGGCGCGAAAGCGUGGGGAGCGAACAGG
rnacentral:rRNA from 1 species